CUUAAAUAAUAUUUUACUUUCUUGUUUUUGUAAUUAAGGUCAUAGACUAGAGUCCUCAGAUGAUGUGGUGUUAGUACCUGGCCUGGCUACUACAACAGAUGGACAGGAGCCACUGAAUGUUGCCGCUGGACUCCCACCAGACUUCAUCUCCCAUGUGGGCUGCUGCUCUAAACUGCAUGUGGCUCCCUAUAGCUCAAAGGUGUUAUUCCACCAGCCAGGAUGUUGUGAUCAUAUCUUCUUUCCCUCUGCCAUGUCCCCUACAUAAGAGUGCUCCAUGGAGGGUGGAAUAGAGUAACCAAGCAAGCUCUGUGUUGGUGCAAGCUCUGCAUGGUGAAAGAAUCCUCAGUGCUUAACGCAGUAAAGAAACCAGAGCUUCUGUCUCCGG